rnacentral:rRNA from 1 species
GAUGAACGCUAGCGGCAGGCUUAACACAUGCAAGUCGAGGGCAGCAUAAACAUUGCUUGCAAUGUUUGAUGGCGACCGGCGCACGGGUGCGUAACGCGUAUGUAACCUACCUCAAACAGGGGCAUAACACUGAGAAAUUGGUACUAAUUCCCCAUAACACCUUGGGAGGCAUCUCUUGGGGUUNAAAGUUCCGGCGGUUUGAGAUGGACAUGCGUUGUAUUAGCUAGAUGGUGAGGUAACGGCUCACCAUGGCGACGAUACAUAGGGGGACUGAGAGGUUAACCCCCACACUGGUACUGAGACACGGACCAGACUCCUACGGGAGGCAGCAGUGAGGAAUAUGGUCAAUGGACGCAAGUCUGAACCAGCCAUGCCGCGUGCAGGAU